rnacentral:rRNA from 1 species
GAUAUUCUUGGCUUCAUGAAUUGAACCGACUGGCCGGCCAGGGCUUUACCACCAUGCAAGUCGAGGCGGGAGGAGAGGUAGCUUGCUACCUGAUCUUAAGCCGGCCGAACGGGUGAGUAAUUGCUUAAGGAAUCUGCCUAUUAGUGGGGGACAACAUUUCGAAAGGAAAUGCUAAUACCGCAUACGUCCUACGGGAGAAAGCAGGGGAUCUUCGGACCCUUGCGCUAAAUAGAUGAGCUAAGUCGGAUUAGCUAGUUGGUGGGGUAAAGGCCUACCCAAGGCGACGAUCUGUAGCGGGUCUGAGAGGAUGAUCCGCCACACUGGGACUGAGACACGGCCCAGACUCCUACGGGAGGCAGCAGUGGGGAAUAUUGGACAAUGGGCGCAAGCCUGAUCCAGCCAUGCCGCGUGUGUGAAGAAGGCCUUAUGGUUGUAAAGCACUUUAAGCGAGGAGGAGGCUACUUUAGUUAAUACCUAGAGAUAGUGGACGUUACUCGCAGAAUAAGCACCGGCUAACUCUGUGCCAGCAGCCGCGGUAAUACAGAGGGUGCAAGCGUUAAUCGGAUUUACUGGGCGUAAAGCGCGCGUAGGCGGCUAAUUAAGUCAAAUGUGAAAUCCCCGAGCUUAACUUGGGAAUUGCAUUCGAUACUGGUUAGCUAGAGUGUGGGAGAGGAUGGUAGAAUUCCAGGUGUAGCGGUGAAAUGCGUAGAGAUCUGGAGGAAUACCGAUGGCGAGCAGCCAUCUGGCCUAACACUGACGCUGAGGUGCGAAAGCAUGGGGAGCAAACAGGAUUAGAUACCCUGGUAGUCCAUGCCGUAAACGAUGUCUACUAGCCGUUGGGGCCUUUGAGGCUUUAGUGGCGCAGCUAACGCGAUAAGUAGACCGCCUGGGGAGUACGGUCGCAAGACUAAAACUCAAAUGAAUUGACGGGGGCCCGCACAAGCGGUGGAGCAUGUGGUUUAAUUCGAUGCAACGCGAAGAACCUUACCUGGCCUUGACAUAGUAAGAACUUUCCAGAGAUGGAUUGGUGCCUUCGGGAACUUACAUACAGGUGCUGCAUGGCUGUCGUCAGCUCGUGUCGUGAGAUGUUGGGUUAAGUCCCGCAACGAGCGCAACCCUUUUCCUUAUUUGCCAGCGAGUAAUGUCGGGAACUUUAAGGAUACUGCCAGUGACAAACUGGAGGAAGGCGGGGACGACGUCAAGUCAUCAUGGGCCCUUACGGCCAGGGCUACACACGUGCUACAAUGGUCGGUACAAAGGGUUGCUACCCUAGCGAUAGGAUGCUAAUCUCAAAAAGCCGAUCGUAGUCCGGAUUGGAGUCUGCAACUCGACUCCAUGAAGUCGGAAUCGCUAGUAAUCGCGGAUCAGAAUGCCGCGGUGAAUACGUUUCCCGGGCCUUGUACACACCGCCCGUCACACCAUGGGAGUUUGUUUGCACCAGAAGUAGCUAGCCUAACUGCAAGAGGGCGGUUUACCACGUGUGGCCGAUGACUGGGGUGAAGUCGUACAGGGGUA